UGCUGAAUUUUCCAAAUUUGCUGACAAUUUGAGUGCAGCACUUUAACAACAUCAUCUUUUAGGAUUUGAAAUAGCCCAGCUGGAAUUCCAUCACAUCUCCUAGCUUUGUUUGUGGCAAUUCUUCUUGAGGCCUACUUGAUUUCAUACUCUAGGAUGUUUGGCUCUGGCUGAGUGACCACACCGUCAUGGUUAUCUGCGUCAUUAAGACAUUUUUGGUAUAGUUCUUCUGUAUAUUCUUGCCACCUCUUCUUAAUCUCUUCUGCUUCUCUUAGAUACUGGCUUUAA